UGUGCAUGGCUGUGUGACGUGUGCCUGACACCAAGGUAGGGUGUGUGCAUGGCUGUGUGACACCAAGGUGAGGGCGCGUGCACGGCUGUGUGACGUGUGCCUGACACCAAGGUAGGGUGUGUGCAUGGCUGUGUGACGUGUGCCCGACACCAAGGUGAGGGUGUGUGCACGGCUGUGUGACAUGUGCCCGACACCAAGGU